rnacentral:rRNA from 1 species
GACGAACGCUGGCGGCGUGCCUAAUACAUGCAAGUCGAGCGGACUUUCCGGAGUGCUUGCACUCCGGAAGGUUAGCGGCGGACGGGUGAGUCACACGUAGGCCACCUCCCCAUAAGACCGGGAUCACAUUCGGCACCGAAUGCUAAUACCCGAUAGCCGGCCCCCUCGCAUGACGGGCUCGCGAAAGGCGGAGCAAUCUGCCGCCCCUGGAUGCGCCUGCGGCGCAUCAGCUGGCUGGUGGGGUAACGGCCUACCACGGCGGCGAGGCGCAGCCGCCCUGAGAGGGUGAUCGGCCACACUGGGACUGAGACACGGCCCAGACGCCUACGGGAGGCAGCAGGAGGGAAGCUUCGGCAAGGGGCGCAAGUCUGACGGAGCAACGCCGCGUGAGUGAGGAAGGCCGUCGGGUCGUAAAGCGCUGUUGCCAGGGAAGAACGGGUAGGGGAGUAACUGCGCUGGCCGUGACGGUACCUGAGAAGAAAGCCCCGGCUAACUACGUG